GGCCGUGAAUAACAGGCUACCUUGAAUUGGUGUUUCCUUUGCGUAUUUUGUUUCUAAGCAAAUCGAGUCCCAGGUAGAGUUUUGCCCUUGAGCAGCUUCAUGAGGUCAAGGAGGGGCGCUCACUCCACUCUGCACGGAAACACUGAGUGGAAUGAAAAUACAACCGGAGAGAAUGUCCUCCCCACCAGAAGGUCGCCUCGAGACAGGCCUCCACGCAUCGUUGCUGACCUCACACAGUGAUACCUCUGCAUGCCGGGGAGCAAUUCCAUCCAAGAAUGUCUGAGACGCGCUCUGCAAGAUGAGUUGGCAGCAUCUCUGUGCCUCUGGUUUUGCCAGGCUCCACCAACAUCCCGCUAAGAACUCUUCACCCUCAAGUGCACUGAGGGGAACCCCAGUGAAGGCCAAUGAGGGAAACCACACAUCACUGAGGGCCGACGGAGGCCCCCAAAGCUCAGAUCGCUGUGCUCGCCAGUAGGUCCCCAGACACCCUUAACACAGCUAUCUGCAGGAUUGAAUGAUUGCUGGGACCACACAAUUUACACUUGGCUCUCGUGGUCCGGAGGGGAGGACUGCGCCAGCAUGAGAAGACCAGAGAGCAAGUAAAUGGAAAUUUGGCGAGAUCCUGUGGCUGCUGUUGGUGGCUGCAGCCAGACAGGAAAACUGAGAUGGUGUGAGCAGAAAGGGCUGGAAGGAGUUGGCUUUUUCCAAGAAAUUACAGCGGAAUCUUCUUCCAAGAGGCUGGGGGCCUCUGCAGACAUGAUCUCAUUACUUACCCCCCAAAUCCCCCAGCUUCCCUACGGACCAAGGACCAGGGGUCUCUGCCCAGUCCUAGCUCCAAGGAAACUCACACUUGGCAGAUUUUCCUAAUCGGAGCUGGCCUUGAAGUUUGCUCACUGAUAAUCACCAGAAAGUCACCCCAACAAUGGGUGAUGCCAGAGUGUCCUCAAGCUUCAAGGGUCCGUAAAAACACUUGACUCCCCCAGGACAAAAAUGACUGGGGGAAACAUGCAGUUCUUCAAAGAGAACGGUUUCAUUCU
ensembl:lncRNA LASTR lncRNA associated with SART3 regulation of splicing